rnacentral:rRNA from 1 species
ACCCUAAAGCUAGCCAAAACAAAUCUUAUUCACCCUCCAUUAUUAAUUUGAUAUUUCAUAUUACAUUAAUUAAUUUAAAACAUUUUAUCCUUCUCAGUAUAGGCGAUAGAACAGAACCUUUGAGCUAUACAAAUAGUACCGCAAGGGAAAGCUGAAAAAGAAAUGAAAUAAAUCAUUAAAGUACAAAAAAGCAGAG